rnacentral:piRNA from 1 species
UACAAAGACAAUGACAGAAGAUGGCUGCU